UACGUAGGGUGCAAGCGUUAAUCGGAAUUACUGGGCGUAAAGCGUGCGCAGGCGGUGAUGCAAGACAGAUGUGAAAUCCCCGGGCUCAACCUGGGAACUGCAUUUGUGACUGCAUCGCUGGAGUGCGGCAGAGGGGGAUGGAAUUCCGCGUGUAGCAGUGAAAUGCGUAGAUGUGCGGAGGAACACCGAUGGCGAAGGCAAUCCCCUGGGCCUGCACUGACGCUCAUGCACGAAAGCGUGGGGAGCAAACAGG
rnacentral:rRNA from 1 species